GAGAACAUGAACUUUCACCUCGGAGCCCACCCCCUCCCAUCUGGAAAACAUGAACUUUCACCUCGGAGCCCACCCCCUCCCAUCUAGAAAACAUUUUUGAGAUAAAGGCCUCCUGGAACAACCUCAAAAUGACAUUGCCAAAUGAUAAGACAUGACUCCUUAGUUACGUAGGUUCCUUGAUAGGACAUGACUCCUUAGUUACGUAGGUUCCUUGAUAGGACAUGACUCCUUAGUUACGUAGAAUCCUUUGGCAGAACCCCUUGUCCCUUGGCAGAACUCCCUAGUGAUGUAAACUUGUACUUUCCCUGCCCAGUUCUCCCCCCUUUGAGUUUUACUAUAUAAGCCUGUGAAAAAUUUUGGCUGGUCGUCGAGACUCCUCUACCCUGUGCUAAGGUGUAUGAGUUUCGACCCCAGAGCUCUGUGUGCUUCCAUGUUGCUGCUUUAUUUCGACCCCAGAGCUCUGGUCUGUGUGCUUUCAUGUUGUUGCUACUUUAUUAAAUCUUACCUUCUACAUUUUAUGUAUGGUCUCAGUGUCUUCUUGGGUACGCGGCUGUCCCGGGACUUGAGUGUCUGAGUCGAGAAUCUUUCAAUCCCAGAACCUAUAACUGCCUGUAACUCCAUCUCCAGGGGAUCCUACCCCUCUGACUUCCACAGCACCUCUACACACAUAGCAUAUACUCACAGACACACAAAUGUACAUGAUUUAUAUUUUUUUCUUUCCUUUUUUCUUUAUUUUAAAGAAAGAGAGGGAGGGGAAAUGGGAGAAACGGCAGGAAUUUCAGGGAAACAACUUCAGCAACAUGGAAAGCCACCACUGGGCAGUGAGCUAAUGAGGUAGGAAAAACAGUGACUAAAUGCCACCUUCCCUUGAAUCCUAUUUCUGUUAGUCAGAGCUCAUUCUGGCUAUAGCUAAGACCCAAGUCCUUUGCAUUGCAUCAUCCAAAGGCCUGGGCAAUCAUCUAUGAAACUGGAUACCUUGGUCUUUGAUGUAAUGUUUCAUCAAAAGCCAGGCAUUCCAAACGCAUGACUGUUAGAGCAGCUGCCAAGAAAAAUCAACAUCCUGGACAUGAAACAGCAGAACUAUGGCUCUGAAGCAAACAGUCAACCACGGUGAUGCCCAAGGCACAGCUGGCAGACCUGUGGCCUUGGAAGUCUGAAAGAGUGCCAAUGGCAAAAUGUGUCUCCUGGACAUACAUGCCCAUCAAGGUGCAAAGGACAAGAAAUUCUGCUUUCUCUGAAUCCUUCCUGGCACUCUCUGAGGCAGUGUGAUAUCUCUCUGGCCACCCAUGUCACACAGGGGGCCGAGCAGUACAAAGUAGAUUUUCUACGUUCCCAGUAAAAUCCAAGCGGUAAAUAAUCUAUGUCUUAAGUAGUAUACUUUAUGGCAAUUGUACACACUCAUCAAAGGAUUCAAGCAUGCAGCUUUCACACACAAGUAGGCUAUUGGCCAAUUACUCUUUAGUAAAACAAAGCUGAUUAUAAACUACAAUAGAAAUGUUAAUAGAAAAGUAAAAUUGGGAUUAUCACCUCCUCAUCUCUCAAGACCUCUUGACGAAGCAGUGAUGGGUGUGGUGGCCCAUGCCUAUAAUCUCAGCAUUUAGGAGGCUUAAGCAGGAGGAUCAAGACUCCAAGGUCACCCUCGGUUACAAGUUCAAAACCAGGCUGCCCUAUGAGGCUCUGUUAAAACCGAAACCAAAGAAACGACCCCUAGAAGAAAGUAACUCAUUCCAAUUUCUCUGCUCACUGACUCCUUCCCACUGCAGGCUCAUCCCUUUGGGGACAGGGUCAAGAGAGCGGUGACAUCUGUAGGACAUGAGUCAUGGGUAUAAGCGAAGACUACUCACAGGCUUUUCUUACCCCUAUUUUCCUCCUACUUGAUUCCUUACCAGGAGGGCCCCUUUCGAGCAUUUAAGGGGUUAAGUACACAGGCAUGGCACAAUUCAGGAAAGACAAACACAGUGAAGGGACAUUGCUGGCUUUGUGGGGGUGUUCCAGGCUAUUUUGUUGAAUUUAGGAGUGCCAGAAAGCCAGGAAAUUAUUUAGAAGAAACAGAAAAAUUGUGCAUCUUGCUGUAGACAGUUGAGAGCAAUGGGUUUGACUCUGUUAUUCUGUUCCUUUCCAUGAGAUUCUAGGGUGGUGUGAGGAUGGAUGGCUUGCUGUCUCUAGGUGACACUCUGGCACUUGGAGUGAUAGUGUACAUAUUAUUUCUGAAAAAAAAUUUAAAGAUUUUAUGUUUGCCAUACAGCAUUUUUGGUUUAUCAUCUUAUGAAAUUUAGCCAAGAAAUUGGUAUUCAACAGCUGAUACUGAAGAACAAUAAAAAGUCACAGAAAAACAGGAACUGUAUGUGACUUAAAAAACAAACAAACAAACAAACAAAACUUAAACUGGGCAGUGAUAGUGCACACAUUUACCCCAGCACUUGGGAGGCAGAAGCAGGUGGAUUGGUGAGUUUGAGGUUAGCCUGGACUACAGAGUGAGUUCCAGGACAGCGAGGGCUACAUAGAGAAUCCUUGACUUGAAAAACAGAAAUACCUCGAAAAAACAAAAAAAAGAAAAAAAAGUAUCAAACAAAACAAAACAAACAAACAAACAAACAAACAAAAAACCCUGAGCUUUUAGACCCAUAAUGGCUGGCAGAUCUCUCUGAGUUUGAGGCCAAUAUAGGCUUAGAUUUUUCAAAACCUACUUUAUAAGGGUAAUUAAACAUUUCAACCUCCAUUCUAGUCCACCUUCCAGAGGUAGGAGGAAAGAAAGAUUAAUGGGAAAUUGGGGGGUGUGGACCUGUUUAGAAGUACUUCUUUGGGGCAGUUCCGACCUUUGUCGUCAGGGUACCAGCAGUGCAGCUCAAUGGUGUCACCAAACAGGGAUCAGCAGUAUGAGCAUAAUCCAGCAGAAACUGCCAGGCCCUACAGGCAAAUCAGCUCGAGGUUGGGGAUACCAUGAGGCCAGUCUCUGCGAAGUCCCCACAAGCAAAGGUCAGUGGAAACCAGCAAAGUGUCGCAAGGUGAACCCAGGCAAGCACGCGCUCUGCCUGUGGAGUUACGUUUACCUUCUUUCUAAAUAUGCGCCCUCUGAAGCAUCUGCUCCAGCAAAACAGGACAUGCCUUUUUACAAGGCAGCUCCCGAAAACCACCGCGUGUCUGUCUGCUCCAGCUAAACAUACCCUCACAUGUCUGCAUCAGCAAAACAUCCUCCCACAAGCCGGCUUCCAGAAGAGCAUCACAGGACAACUCUGAGUCUCCAAAGAAAACAGAAAUUUCCUCUUCAGGCCACGGAUCUGCAUAGGGAGUCCCAGGCCAGCCAGGGCUAUAUAGUGAUGCCCUUUAAAAGAAAUAUUUUUCGGUCGGGCAAUGGUGGCACAUGCCUUUAAUCCCAGCACUCGGGAGGCAGAGGCAGGCAAAUUUCUAAGUUCGAGGCCAGCCUGGUCUACAGAGUGAGUUCCAGAACAGCCAGGGCUAUACAGAGAAACCCUGUCUCAGGGGGGGAAAAAAAAAGAAUUGUUUUUCUUCUCAACAGAACCCUAUGGAAAGAGAUGACUGGGAGAUAAUCCCAACUUCUUUUUAAACUGUACAAUACCUGCUUUGUUUACAUGGAGGCUGGAGUAGAGAAUCUGGGAAGAUUUAACCCAUCUUUCAACCUCAUUUCUUAGGGAGAAGCCUCAGAAAGAAUUCAUUCCUCCAGCACAAAUGAUAUCAUAUAUUGCUUUCAUUACAAAAGGAUGCUAUUUUGCUCAUCCCUGAGAAAUGGUCUCUAGUGAGGAAAUAGCUAGUGGCUUAUUUUAUACUCAACUCACACAUCUAAUUAGAUGAGUAAAACACAAUUAACAUUUACAUUUCACACGACUUGGGAAGAAAAACGUCUUGGUAAAAUCUAGUUUGAGGUCUACAGGAGAAAAAAAUAGUGCCUCCUGUCUGACUUAGAGCCUGCCAUCCCCAGUUUCCUGCAUCAGGAUAGAAUGUAGGUGCCUGAGGAACGCGUUUCUUUUAUAAUAUGUAGGAGAGGUCAAUUCGUUCUUUUGCUUUUAUGAUAUUUGGUGUUAAUUUCUCCCAAAUAGUUGCUACAAGCUCUUUGCCAAUCCUCACUGAUUAACCAUAAUGACAAACUACUAUUAGUAUAAGGUACUACAAUUUCUGCCAGGUCUGUUUCCAACAAUUGAUGUAAUCUUAUUCUAUCUUUUUUAUGAUUAAGUCAGAAACUUUUUCUAUGUAAGUCUGUAAUUUUUUACUUUGUGUGCUAAGAAAAUCCAGUCCAUAAAACUAUCUUCCUUUCUCAUCAUGAGCACAGUAGGAGAAUGAGUUGAAGGCAAAAUAACCAAAAUACAGUCAAGUUUUGGGAUCUAUUCAAUGCACAUAUACAUCUCACAGUCUCUGUACUACCAGAGCUAACUCUCUCUGCUUCAGCUGUUGACCAACUUGGACUGUUUAAGUCUCAAUCUCGUAAUGUUUGAAACAAAUUAUCUAACUCUUAAGAGAUUAAUUGAAUGGUAGGACAUAGUCAAUUAAUACCUCCCAUUAAUCUUUGAAAAUCAUUAAGAGUCUGCAACUGAUCUCUUCUGAUCUGUACCUUUUGUGGUUGAAUUUUUUCUUGACUUAUUUUAUUUUAUUUAUUAUUAUUAUUAUUAUUAUUUAUUUUUUUUUUUGGUUUUUCGAGACAGGCUUUCUCUGUGUAGCCCUGGCUGUCCGGAACUCACUUUGUAGACCAGGCUAGCCUCGAACUCAGAAAUCCACCUGCCUCUGCCUCCCAAGUGCUGGGAUUAAAGGCGUGUGCCACCACUGCCCGGGGACUUAUUUUAUAACCCAAGGAGUUAAUAGAAUCUCCUUUCUGUAGCUUUUCAGUAGCAAUAUAACCCCCCAGAAUGGCUAAUUUCUUUGUGUUUCCUUAAACAUUUUCUCUCUAAAGUAUCUGCAUCAGAACCGGCCAACAAAAUACCACCAGUGUAACAAUAGUGGAUUGAGGAUAUUGCCUACGAAUUAUUUCUAGCAGUUAUUGCAUAAAAUAUUGACAUGAAGUUAGACUAGUUAACAUUCCCUGUGGAAGAACUUUUCACUGAUAUCCUUUUACAGGUCAAGCAUUAUUUCAAGUAGGUACUAUGAAAGCAAACCUUUACCUAUCUUGCUCAUGAAUGAGAAUAGUUUUUUUUUUUUUUUUUUUUGGUUUUUCGAGACAGGGUUUCUCUGUAUAGCCCUGGCUGUCCUGGAACUCACUUUGUAGACCAGGCUGACCUCGAACUCAGAUAUCCACCUGCCUCUGCCUCCCGAGUGCUGGGAUUAAAGGCGUGCGCCACCACGCCCGGCUGAGAAUAGUUUUUUUAAAAAAGCAGUUUUUAACAUCAAUUCUUAUCAUAGACCAUGCCUUAGGUAAUAAAGAAGAUAAAGGAACUCCAGGCUGUAAUGGACCCAUUGAUCAAAUUACUUUUUGUUGUUGUUUUUUGAGACAGGUUUUCUCUGUAUAGCCCUGGCUGUCCUGGAACUCACUUUGUAGACCAGGCUGGUCUCAGAAAUCUGCCUGCCUCUGCCUCCCGAGUGCUGGGAUUAAAGGUGUGCACCACCACGCCCAGCUGGUCAAAUUACUCUUUUCGCUGAUCUUAAAUCUAUUAACAUCCUUCAUUUUCCCAAUUCAUAUUUAUUUAUUUAUUUAUUUAUUAUAUGUAAGUACACUGUAGCUGUCCUCAGACACUCCAGAAGAGGGAGUCAGAUCUCGUUACGGAUGGUUGUGAGCCACCAUGUGGUUGCUGGGAUUUGAACUCCUGACCUUCGGAAGAGCAGUCGGGUACUCUUACCCACUGAGCCAUCUCACCAGCCCACAUUUUUUUUAAUAAAAAAUACAGGGAAAUUCCAUGGGCUGGUAGACUCAUUUAUAUGUUGAAGUUACUCAAGUGCCUGUAAUUUUCUUCUUAGUCAAAGGCCACUGAUGUACCUGCACAGGGUUAUCAGUCAACCAUUUUAAGGGUAGGGCUGUUGAUACUUUGUCAAUAGACCCCCCUUAUAAAUUUGGAAACUCAAUCCCUGUUCUUUCCUGUGUUGGGACAAUUGGCACAGGCUAGGGUUGGUUUUCAUGACAUACAGCAAUACCUUUUCCAGGAACAUCUACCAUUUCACCCCUUAUUUCACCAUGGGCUGUGUCUGGGAUUACAGGGAUGGUAAUCUGAGCACCCACUCAGAAAGAUCCCUUUCCCCUAAAUUUAUGGGUUUGAUGGCCAUGUAGGCUUUAACAAAUAUGUUUGGCCUUUCAGUCUCACAUUUAAGCCAUUGUACAUUUUGUUUUAUCUGAGAUAAAUUUCUAAUAUCUAGAAACUGUGCAUUUACUUUUGAAGUGGCCAUUUUGAAUCCCAGGAUUUUUGUGAAAUGUGUUAUGUCAGUUCCUGUACCCACCAAACCUUCUAUUUCUACACCAUUUACUUGCAAUUUUAAUUUUGGCCUCUGAUGAUUAACUACCGUUUGUCAAAACACACAUUUUCCAGUACUUGCAAACACUCCUGUUCUUUCUCAUGGAGAAGGUUUGCCUUUGAUGUAGGGAAACAAUAGCAGCUGAGCAACCCUCUCACCUGGGUUCAGUCACAUCUCUCUUUGUACAUAGGCCAGAAUUUAACUUCUCCUUUGAAAUCUUCAUCUGUAAUUCCUGAAUACACAAUGAAUCCUUAGGAAGUCAACCCACUCCUUCCCAGGAUCAUCCCUGUUGUCCCUGAGGGUGAAGGACCAUAAACCCCAGUAGUAAUUUUAUAACAAUGAACUUUUGGGGACAGUGUAAGAUGUUUAUCUAUAGCCAAGUCUAGAGCAGCACUGUCUGCAGUAGCAUGCAUUAGACUUGUGAUACUUAGUUGAGGAUUUUCUGCUUGUUAUUUCUUGGCUGACAAGAGGCAAAAACUUGUACUUUUUGCUGUGGGGGUCUCUAGUUAGGCCCCCAAUGCUGUUUCCUGAUGGUAAGAAAUUGCCUUAGAUAUCUCUCUCAGACCUAUCCUUAUUGGUCUAAUGGCAACCCUGCCACAUCACCUGCACACCCCUGGAAGCCUAAGCCUUCUUUCUGUUUUAUAUUUAGAAAACCCAUUGGCCUUAGAGAUGCCUUGUUCACAAUUUUGUUGCAAAUGACCAAAUUUUCCACAAUUAAAGCACCAAGCAUUUUGAGGUCUGAGAUCUUAGCAGCUUGGUCAUAGUCUCUUUGCAAAGACCGUAUUUCCUACAAUUGAAGCACUGGAUAUUUUGAUAUCAGACCUCUAGCUAUAGCUGGACCUAUGAUAUUAGUAUGGUUCAUGUUAGAACCAGUAUCGGCCAUAUCCCUUAUAUACGUGUCCAUAGGUACUGCUCUUGACUUUGAUGGUUUUUACACUGAUAUACAAAUUUUUAUAUGCCAAGAUCUCUAUCAACAUCUGCCUUGCAUCAGGUCUGAUAUAGCUUUGUUCACAACUCAGCCAGUCUUUCAAACUUUUUUGAAACAAACAAACAACAAAUACAGAAAAUCCCUUGUGGGUGCAAAGCAGAAAAUAUCCCAAUAGUAGAAGCCUCAGUACAUUUUUUGCUGGCAUCUUCUCCUACCUUUUUCUCUACCGCACUUGAAAUCAAAUUUCCCACUCUGCCUAGCCCCAUGUCUGGGCAGCACUUGUAGCUCUUUUAUGCUACAUUGUAGGUUCUUUGUUCUUCCGCCCUUUUUCACCCCUUUUCUUCCACCUUUUCAGCCUCCUAACUCUAGAUAAGAAAGAAAAAAAAACGAUAGAGAGGAAAGGAAAGAGAUCCCUGAAUAAAGUAUGAGGUGGAAAAGGGGUGACAUUAUUGUUAGACUAGUUCCUGCUGAUUGGGGACAAGCUCCUUAGGGAAAGUUUGAUCUUCAAUGUCAGGAUAGCUAAUUUCUUCAUCUCCUUGUUUCUUCUUCGCACAUGACUACUUAACAAACUGUAACCAACAGCAACCCACACCAACCAACCACCAACCAUGCUUCUCAGGGCAUUAACAUUUAUAUACCCUCUGAAAACUCCCCAGAAUUCCAAUUUCAGAAAGUAUCUAUAGCUGGUAAAAUCAUGCAUGCGCCUGCUGGAGCAGGAAGCAAACAUAGUCAGGCGCUGUGAAUACCUGAAGCAGGCCUACAUCCCAUACCUGGGAUUAAGAAUGAAAACAUAUUAGUAUAAUAUUUAUGUGAUUUUUUUUUAAAGAAAACAAAAUCCCAAAAUUGUCACUACAACCUAUAAACAGGAAGACCAGAGGGAAAGGCUUAAGAACACCAGUACUUGAGGCCUCCAGAUGGGGAAGUGGCAGCAUUGUUGUGCCUGUUAAACUAUAGCAACUGCACACUGAAAACUCUCCUGCCAAACUGCUAGUAAGAGAAGUAAUCCAGACUGGAGAGAUGGCUCAGAGGUUAAGAGCACCGACUGCUCUUUCAGAGGUCCUGAGUUCAAUUCCCAGCAACCACAUGGUGGCUCACAAGCAUCUGUAAUGAGACCUGAUGCCCUCUUCUAUGGUGUGUCUGAAGAUAGCUAGUCAUACAAAUAAAAUAAAUAAAUUUAAAAAAUAAAGAAGUAGUAAUCCAGGGCCAGCAAGAUAGAUGAGAUAAAAGAGCUUGCUAUGUAAGCAUAAGGGCCUGAGUUCUAUUCCUGGAAUCCAGGAAUAAAACUAAAAGGAGAGAACUGACUCUACCAAGCUGUCCUCUCACCCCCCACCCCCACUGUGGUAUGUAUUCAGGCACUCCUAUAUGCACAUUACACACACACACACACACACACACACGCUAUAGCUUAAAAAGAUAAAAAGGGCUUGGAGAGAUGGUUCAACAUCUAAGAGUACUGGCUGCUCUUCCAGGGAACCCAGGUUUGAUUCCCAGCACACACAUGGUGGCUCACAACUGUAACUCCAGUUCCAGGAGAUCCAAUGCCCCCUUCUGGCUUCUGUAGGCACCAG
rnacentral:lncRNA from 1 species